AUACUCUUGUUUCUCUUCAAUUCGUAUAAAUCUUUCGCCUUUUACUAAAGAUUUCCGUGGAGAGGAACAAAUAAGAGUGCGAAGUAAUUUUUUUAAGCUUCACUGAGGUGGAGCA